UAACGCGAAGAACCUUACCAAGGCUUGACAUGAACCGGUAACGCCUGGAAACAGGUGCCCCGCUUGCGGUCGGUUUACAGGUGGUGCAUGGUUGUCGUCAGCUCGUGUCGUGAGAUGUUGGGUUAAGUCCCGCAACGAGCGCAACCCUCGUUCCAUGUUGCCAGCACGUCGUGGUGGGGACUCAUGGGAGACUGCCGGGGUCAACUCGGAGGAAGGUGGGGACGACGUCAAAUCAUCAUGCCCCUUAUGUCUUGGGCUUCACGCAUGCUACAAUGGCCGGUACAAAGGGUUGCGAUACUGUGAGGUGGAGCUAAUCCCAAAAAGCCGGUCUCAGUUCGGAUUGGGGUCUGCAACUCGACCCCAUGAAGUCGGAGUCGCUAGUAAUCGCAGAUCAGCAACGCUGCGGUGAAUACGUUCCCGGGUCUUGUACACACCGA
rnacentral:rRNA from 1 species